GCUUCCCCGCCUCUGUGAUUUUCAUAUUCAUACUCUGGAAUCUGUAAUUGCGGUCAAAGUUACUGGUGGCUGAAAGUUUACUGUACUCAAUUUCAGGGUGCAGCUGUUUGCACAGAAAGGCGCCAUUGUGCUAGAUUAAAGUUUCAGAACUUGGUAGAGUGAGGUUGUAAUCUCUCAUGUAUGAAUGCAUUUCUGUAACAGGCAUGCAUCAACUUUUACAUAAGUACUCUUGUGUGGGCCAUUAAAAAGACACAGGAAAGAUUGUAAGUCCAAAUCAUGUCUUCCAUUUUGCUCUUCUGUAUUUCCUGACCACUUAGAAAAAGUUCACAAGCCUUUGAAGAAACAGCAGCAGGCUGUUAUUGUUUUCAAGGUUUACAAAUUAAGUGCUUGAUUUUUAAUGUAUUCUCUCUAUCUACUGUUUUGAUUUUCAGAUUUUGACUCAAUAUUUGAAGAUGUGCCUUUUAUUGGGUGAUGUUAAUUCUCGAAUGUAGUAAUGUUGUUUCACAAUUGUAAUGUUACAUGUUCACGGGUGUGACAUUCUCUAACAAAUUAUUCGAUAAGAAAGUCAUUUUCAUGGAACUCAUGGCUCUGAUUGCACAGUCCCUUGCUAAAGCAAAGGGCACUCUUUUAAGGCUACUUCAGAACUGGUCUUUGUAUUUUCUCUAAGCGAUGGAUGUAGUCAUGUCCAUUUAGAGGCAGGGUACCACAUGUCACAGGCAGCCCUGAGUGUGUGCCAUGAGAAAGUUCAAAGACUGUGACAAAGUCUACAGGAACUCAAAAUUUCAUUUUUGUAAUGGUAACCCCCAAGAUUUUCUCCAAGAAAUAAAUUAUUUUGUAUUUUAUAACUUAAAAGCAGCUAGUAGUACAUUUCUGAGAUACAGCAGGAGACCAAAACAUUUUUCGAAAGAGAAUAAAUAU
rnacentral:lncRNA from 1 species